UACGAAGGGUGCAAACGUUGCUCGGAACUAUUGGGCGUAAAGCGCACGUAGGCGGCAUGGCAAGUCGGAUGUGAAAUCCCUCGGCUCAACCAAGGAAGUGCAUCCGAAACUGCUGUGCUUGAGUACGAAAGAGGAUCGCGGAAUUCCCGGUGUAGAGGUGAAAUUCGUAGAUAUCGGGAGGAACACCAGUGGCGAAGGCGGCGAUCUGGGUCGAUACUGACGCUGAGGUGCGAAAGCGUGGGGAGCAAACAGG
rnacentral:rRNA from 1 species